GUAGGUGGCAAGCGUUGUCCGGAAUUAUUGGGCGUAAAGCGCGCGCAGGCGGUUCUUUAAGUCUGAUGUGAAAGCCCACGGGCUCAACCGUGGGGGGUCAUUGGAAACUGGAGAACUUGAGUACAGAAGAGGAAAGCGGAAUUCCACGUGUAGCGGUGAAAUGCGUAGAGAUGUGGAGGAACACCAGUGGCGAAGGCGGCUUUCUGGUCUGUAACUGACGCUGAGGCGCGAAAGCGUGGGGAGCAAACAGGAUUAGAUACCCUGGUAGUCCACGCCGUAAACGAUGAGUGCUAAGUGUUAGGGGGUUUCCGCCCCUUAGUGCUGCAGCUAACGCAUUAGGCACUCCGCCUGGGGAGUACGGCCGCAAAGGCUG
rnacentral:rRNA from 1 species